rnacentral:rRNA from 2 species
CUGGUAUUGAUUGGUGCUUGCAUCAUGAUUUACAUUUGAGUGAGUGGCGAACUGGUGAGUAACACGUGGGAAACCUGCCCAGAAGCGGGGGAUAACACCUGGAAACAGAUGCUAAUACCGCAUAACAACUUGGACCGCAUGGUCCGAGCUUGAAAGAUGGCUUCGGCUAUCACUUUUGGAUGGUCCCGCGGCGUAUUAGCUAGAUGGUGGGGUAACGGCUCACCAUGGCAAUGAUACGUAGCCGACCUGAGAGGGUAAUCGGCCACAUUGGGACUGAGACACGGCCCAAACUCCUACGGGAGGCAGCAGUAGGGAAUCUUCCACAAUGGACGAAAGUCUGAUGGAGCAACGCCGCGUGAGUGAAGAAGGGUUUCGGCUCGUAAAACUCUGUUGUUAAAGAAGAACAUAUCUGAGAGUAACUGUUCAGGUAUUGACGGUAUUUAACCAGAAAGCCACGGCUAACUACGUGCCAGCAGCCGCGGUAAUACGUAGGUGGCAAGCGUUGUCCGGAUUUAUUGGGCGUAAAGCGAGCGCAGGCGGUUUUUUAAGUCUGAUGUGAAA